rnacentral:rRNA from 1 species
CAGCCGCCGCGGGAAUACGAAGGGUGCAAGCGUUACUCGGAAUUACUGGGCGUAAAGCGUGCGUAGGUGGUGGUUUAAGUCCGUCGUGAAAGCCCUGGGCUCAACCUGGGAAUUGCAGUGGAUACUGGAUCACUAGAGUGUGGUAGAGGAUAGUGGAAUUUCCGGUGUAGCAGUGAAAUGCGUAGAGAUCGGAAGGAACAUCUGUGGCGAAGGCGACUAUCUGGGCCAACACUGACACUGAGGCACGAAAGCGUGGGGAGCAAACAGGAUUAGAUACCCCUGUAGUCCCUGUCUCUUAUAC